rnacentral:rRNA from 1 species
UACGAGGGGGGCAAGCGUUGUUCGGAAUUAUUGGGCGUAAAGGGCGCGUAGGCGGUGCGGUAAGUCACCUGUGAAAUCUCUGGGCUCAACUCAUAGUCUGCAUCGGAAACUGCCGGGCUUGAGUGUGGGAGAGGUGAGUGGAAUUCCUGGUGUAGCGGUGAAAUGCGUAGAUAUCAGGAGGAACACCUGUGGCGAAAGCGGCUCACUGGACCAUAACUGACGCUGAUGCACGAAAGCUAGGGGAGCAAACAGG